CCCACCUGGGCCUGAGCCCAGGAACUCCAUGAGCACAGACUCACUGCCACUUCCAUUGCUCAAAGCCAGCUGCAGGGUCUGGGAACCAGGCUCAACUUGCUGUGCCAGGCCAGCCUGGACCUCCUCUGACCUGGGCCUGAGCUGAUAAGUUGGGGGAACAGUCAGGAGACAGUUGGGCUGAGGUUGUUUUUAAGACUCCUCUGUGGCCCAUGUGCUUGGAUUUCUUGUCAAAACUCUCCCUUCUGACCUGCCUAACUUGCCCCUCCCCGCCAUGCCUAGGCACAUAUUUUCUUCCCAUAACAUCAGACCUGAUUCUCAGAAUGGGUACAGGGCGUAUUCAUGGGGGCGCAGCUUCAGGAAGGGGCCUGCUGCAGUGGCGUGCAGUGCUUGGGGGCAUGAAGUGUGCAGGGGUAGGUGUGCUGGCCCUGAGACUUUCCCCCGUGAGAAUUUCAUUGCCACAGCGCCAGUGGGUGGAUCGAUAGCUUUAGGAAGGUGAGGUUUCUUUUGUGGAGAAAGCACCAGGAACAUUGUGUCCACCCCCAACCCCACCCCAAGCCACAGGCUCCUGGAUGGCCUGGGUUCUUCCACUACACUCAGCCCUUCUCUAUGUGGUGCCCAUGCCUGGAGCACAGCCCAGUCCCACCCUGCCCCUGAGGGUGGCUCACAUGUUCUUAAGGCAGGUACCAGGAGGAUGACUGGCCACUCAGGGACGCAGGAAGUGGCUCUUCUGCAUGGCCUGCCUGGUGAGUCACCUAGAGAAUGCUGGGCCCAAUUCAGUCCUCCCAGUCCCACAAGGCCUGUAGAUACCAAAAAUGGAGACAGAAUCAUCCUUGGAGAGAGGCCCAGGGGCAGGCCUGGGAAGCAGGCAGAGUGGGGACAAAGAGGGCCACCACGUAAAACAGGCCCCUGUGGGCCUGCCCGGCCGCUCAUCACACACGGUGGUUAGUCUGUGCAGUGUCUCUUUUGUCCCAGUGGCUUCAUUUUGUUUCCACUUUUUAUAAAUGCUUGCUAAUUCGGCUUCAUCUUUUUCAAAAUAAUAAUAUGUCAUUGUGAAGAGAUGUCCCCUGCCAGGCAUCUUUAGGGCUUUCCUCACGGCCCAACAGACCGAUGCACAUGAGGGCAUCAAUGCCCUCCCCCAGCCUGGUGAACCCUGACUUCCAUUCCAAUGGAAGACACGUGGGGUGGCCGGUCUCUGCCCCUCUCGAAGGCAUGUUUUGGGUUGGAAGGAGGCCUUGGGCCCCCUAAGGCAAGCUCAAUAAGGGAACCAGUGACAGCGGAGAACUCAGCCCAGGCUGUCCAAGUCCCUUCAUAAGAGCUGGCAAAUGGCAGGCAACCUCUCUGGGUCUGUUUCCUCAUUUGUACUG
rnacentral:lncRNA from 1 species